rnacentral:rRNA from 1 species
AUGCUUUUCCUCCUCGGAUCACGUCCAUACAUGUUGCCUCCCUCUGCCGACCGCAAUGCGUAUGUCCAGAUGUGCUAUGCAUUGCUUCCGCCAGGUAAAGGAGACACAACAAGACAGCUCGCUCUGCCGGCUCUGGAGUACAGGUCGGCCGAGGAUCUGGCCAGCUCACUCCGGCGCAUCGGGAACGCAUUUAUCACUGGAUCGCCCGAGAUUUCAUUCCAAACUAGCACUGCGGUGACAGACAGAUAUGAUUCAACAAUGGCGAUAAUAGGAGCUAGGCUUGGCGCAAAGCUCAUCGGCGAGGAUGGGUUGGCAGGCUCAGCUACCGGUGGCAUGCUAGAGCUCAUCGGCGAGGAUGGGUUGGCAGGCUCAGCUACCGGUGGCAUGCUAGAGCUCAUCGGCGAGGAUGGGUUGGCAGGCUCAGCUACCGGUGGCAUGCUAGAGCUCAUCGGCGAGGAUGGGUUGGCAGGCUCAGCUACCGGUGGCAUGCUAGAGCUCAUCGGCGAGGAUGGGUUGGCAGGCUCAGCUACCGGUGGCAUGCUAGAGCUCAUCGGCGAGGAUGGGUUGGCAGGCUCAGCUACCGGUGGCAUGCUAGAGCUCAUCGGCGAGGAUGGGUUGGCAGGCUCAGCUACCGGUGGCAUGCUAGAGCUCAUCGGCGAGGAUGGGUUGGCAGGCUCAGCUACCGGUGGCAUGCUAGAGCUCACCGUCCAAGUAUGGAUAGAGAUACUGUUCUACAUAGCCUGCCGAUGCAGCGCCUACUCUCAUGCCAAACAGCUCAGCAACGGCUCCGAGCUCAUCACCGUCGUUGCCCUUCUUGUGAGAUAUAUCACUUAA